UACGUAGGUGGCAAGCGUUUAUCCGGAAUUAUUGGGCGUAAAGCGCGCGCAGGCGGUUUCUUAAGUCUGAUGUGAAAGCCCACGGCUCAACCGUGGAGGGUCAUUGGAAACUGGGGAACUUGAGUGCAGAAGAGAAAAGCGGAAUUCCACGUGUAGCGGUGAAAUGCGUAGAGAUGUGGAGGAACACCAGUGGCGAAGGCGACUUUCUGGUCUGUAACUGACACUGAGGCGCGAAAGCGUGGGGAGCAAACAGG
rnacentral:rRNA from 1 species